CUGCCACCAGGGAAGGUGCUCUACUUGGAGUUCCCUCAUUUUGGAGUAUUCAGCGAGCCUGGAGACUGGGGCAGGCCCUUUCGGUGAGCUGAAGGUCUCAGAGGUGUAAAUGUGUGGGGAUUGCCAUCCCUGCUACAUGCAGUCUCUCCCCAUGUGACACUGAGGACAUGCUGCUUUUUGUUCCACAUGACUAGGAAUUCCUUGGCAGUAUGAUCUUGCCAUUGUGUGGAUGUCUUUCCCUCUUCCUGAGGCAGCGCUUGCCACCAUCAAGGUGCUUGGUGAUAUGCAGGUACCAGCCUUGCUGAGGGUACUGCUUGAGUCCGUGUUUAAUUUCAGGUGCCUGCUCUGAUGUUACAUUCUGGUAGCCAAUGAGUUUGCAUUUUUUCCCUUCUGCCAACAUGUUUGUAUUUUUCCUUUGUAAAAUGUGCCGAUUGUUAUCACCACCAAGUAGAUGCUUUUUUUCCUGGUUGCUGCUCUGAGCAAGAACUGUCAUGGCUGGAUAAUAGCUUACUUUGUUUGAAAAAGUUGGCUGAAAAUUUGAACAAAAUGGAAAAAUCAGUAAUUCUCCCAGUAAUGAGAGAAAUGUGUAUCUAGGAUAGUUUAUGUAGAUAUACCUACUGAAUCUUAUGACCAAAUAUUAGGUAAAUGCCUUCUCUUCUUAUCUGGAGGUAUAGCUCAGAUAGCCUGGAAGUGGACCUAAAGAACAGAGUUUAGCUUUCCUUACUGGUCCUCAGCUCACCCAAACUGGUAUUGCCACUUCUUUUAGAGUACCUGAAUGCUGAUACUAAAAGGGACUUUUUUUUUUCUCAAAGUAGUAGUCAGUAAGAGUGGUAUGACAUGUAUAUUUUUUUUUCCCAAGCCCUUCUCUUUGUGACUGUUUUUCAAUUCUAAGAGUACAAAUUGUAAGGACGUCUGUGCAAAGUGAAGGUGCCUUCCUUUUCUUCUUCUUUCCUGUUCUCUUUUCCUUUUAGAAAUCUAUUGCAGACUGCUACCUCUAAAUCAUGCUUAGAGGCUUCUGAUCUCUGCAAUAUACACUACAGUGGCUUGUGCCGCUACUCCCUAUUGUAAUACAGCAAGUCAUUUAACACAUGAUGUCCCUUCAGUGAGCUGCUGGAAGGUCUUCUUUAGCUUACGGUGUUUGGGAACUUGAGGUCUUGACUCCAAAUGCAGAGGUGAUUCUACGAUGUAGAAAGCAAUUACCAGCCUGGGAACCUGUCCAGAGCAGUGAGGUUACCAGCACUCCUCCUUUCACUGGUAUCCUGGUGAUAUUAAUAACCAAAAACUCGCCAUUAAUAUUUUCUGUGAGACAUGCAUUCUAAUGGGCAGUCAUGGUCACAUAUUUUUCUGUUUUCAUUUGAACGUGUAUGACUACACUGAACAUCAGGCUGAAUAUGUUGAACAGUGAACGUGCAAACAAACAUACAGAUUGCUUGCCUUGGUAGAACUGUAGCAGGUGAAUCACAGGUGCUGUAGUGUAUAACCUGCACCGCUAUUGUAAUGGCUAUCUGCACUAUCUUUUGAAUAGAGGUGACAAUAUUUAUAUAACAAAUACCAGUGUUGCUGUACUAUAUUUAAUACUUUGAUCCCUUAUAAGUUAUGCUGUGAAGAAUAACUCAAGUGGAAUUUAGAUCGUUGAUUGCUUAUAAAAGAUCUGAGAUGAAGUGUCUGAAGUUUGAGGCUGUCUGGGGCUCCUAGAAUACCUUGUGAAUGCAGGACCUUGAAACUGAAUGCAAGCUCAUUAAAGAGCACUGCUAAUGAAAUAAUAGGGUUGCUAUUCUGUUCUACAGAAUUGUUCCAGACUGAUUCUGUUCUACUGUCCUGGUGUUUACUGUGAUUAAAUGACUUAUGGCCAAUUAGUUCUUAAGUCUGUGUGCCAUCCUGCUAUAAACCAUUUCCUUGUUUGUGUACUGAGGUGGUUUUCAGCUCUAUUGCACUCAGCAAUAGCCAAAAGAGGUGCCUCUCAGUUUUCUGCUCAUGGCGAGCACUGUGCCUUCAGCUUCAUAGCUGGUGCUUGGAGCUCGCAGUUUGGGGAUCUAACAUGAAGUGCAGUGGGAAAUGUGGCUGUGUGUGGGGGAUUGGCAGCUGCUGAUAAGUGGAACCUGAAGCAUUUACCUGGGAAGGUUUAGAAAAUUUGUUCUAGCAGUGGUAUUUUGGUUCUUUCUAAUU